ACAACCGCUGGAAACGGCGGCUAAUACCGGAUGCUCCGGGGAGGCCCCAUGGCCUCCCCGGGAAAGCCUUAACGGCGCGGGAUGGGGUCGCGGCCCAUUAGGUAGACGGCGGGGUAACGGCCCACCGUGCCCGCGAUGGGUAGCCGGACUGAGAGGUCGACCGGCCACAUUGGGACUGAGAUACGGCCCAGACUCCUACGGGAGGCAGCAGUGGGGAAUUUUGCGCAAUGGGGGGAACCCUGACGCAGCAACGCCGCGUGCGGGACGAAGGCCUUCGGGUUGUAAACCGCUUUCAGCAGGGAAGACAUAGACGGUACCUGCAGAAGAAGCUCCGGCUAACUACGUGCCAGCAGCCGCGGUAAUACGUAGGGGGCGAGCGUUAUCCGGAUUCAUUGGGCGUAAAGCGCGCGUAGGCGGCCGCCUAAGCGGAACCUCUAAUCCCGGGGCUCAACCUCGGGCCGGGUUCCGGACUGGGCGGCUCGAGUGCGGUAGAGGCAGGCGGAAUUCCCGGUGUAGCGGUGGAAUGCGCAGAUAUCGGGAAGAACACCGAUGGCGAAGGCAGCCUGCUGGGCCGCCACUGACGCUGAGGCGCGAAAGCUGGGGGAGCGAACAGGAUUAGAUACCCUGGUAGUCCCAGCCGUAAACGAUGGACGCUAGGUGUGGGGGGGCCAUCCCCCCGUGCCG
rnacentral:rRNA from 1 species